rnacentral:misc_RNA from 1 species
AAGUCGUAACAAGGUGUGCGGAAAGGAUCAUUAACACGUGUGAAUUUUCAGCUUGCUCCUGUAGCCCGUGAAAGCAGCAAUCCCUGGUAAAUGUUGACCAGCUUUUGAGUCGGGACCUCUGCAGAUUGUGAUAUUUUAUAGCUACGGUUGAGCGAUUGUGUAAUGGCGCAGUCACGAUCGCUGUAGGCCCACACGGCCGGCGACCGGGUCAACCGGGCUCUGCAACUUCGCCGCGCGUGAAAUUCGCACGGCACCAAAGACCGAACUUCUUG